AUGUUGUGUCCAGGACAUUUUCUGAGCAAUCCCUUGAACCUCUCCCAAGUUUCAUGGAGGUUCUCAUAAUCCAACUGGACAAAGGAGUUAAUCUCCUACUUCAAUUU